rnacentral:tRNA from 1 species
CCAUUGGUAGUUGAGAGGCAGAAUUCUCACCUUCUGUGCAAGAGGCCCAGGUUUGAUUCCUUGCCAAUGAA